CACAAUCCACAGAUCUACCAUCAUUAUGGAAAGAUGGUCCUGCUCUGUUGUGUUUUCAGGAAAAACGAAAGGGCUCCCAGGCCUGCUUGAUGCUUCCAGAUGCCUGGUGACAGGAAUCAAGAACCAGGGAAAGGCCUCAGGAUGCUGAGUUCAGAAAUUGUGAGGAUCGAGGGGUGAGAAAUCGAGAGCAGAUGAGGAAGCUGGUUCUCGUCAAGAUUAACUGACUUGCCCCAAAUUACACAACCUGUAAAUGCAUAAGGAGGAACCACAUCAAUUAUCUGCCUCUGAGGCACACAUUUAAAACAUUUCCUCUGCUGCUUUCAUUUCCUAAUGUCCUGGGGCCAACCUGAGGCUCAUCUGAGGGAGGUGUCUGAGCUUCAUGCAAGAGACCUUGAUGUGUUCUAAUGGCUAAUGCAGAGUCUUUGCUCACAUGUCUACAUACUGAGUACCAUGCUGAAUGCCAGCUUAUUGUAAUCUCAGUGCACCAGAGAUCUAUGAGAAUUUGUGACACAGGAAUCUCUGGACUGGGGAAGCUGAGCAAGUUUUCUUUGAAGAGUGAAGGUGAGUUUAUCUGGAAGAAGAGUCAGGAGAAGAAUGGGGUAGAAUAUUGAAGACAGAAGAAACCAAACACGUAAAAACCCUGGAGCAGGCAGAAUGAAUGGAGGUAUACUUAAUUAAUUAAU
rnacentral:lncRNA from 10 species